rnacentral:rRNA from 1 species
GACGAACGCUGGCGGCGUGCUUAACACAUGCAAGUCGAACGGUAAGGCCCUUCGGGGUACACGAGUGGCGAACGGGUGAGUGACACGUGGGUGAUCUGCCCUGCACUUCGGGAUAAGCCUGGGAAACUGGGUCUAAUACCGGAUAGGACCUCUGCCGGCAUGGGUGGUGGUGGAAAGCUUUUGCGGUGUGGGAUGGGCCCGCGGCCUAUCAGCUUGUUGGUGGGGUGAUGGCCUAGCAAGGCGACGACGGGUAGCCGGCCUGAGAGGGUGACCGGCCACACUGGGACUGAGAUACGGCCCAGCCUCCUACGGGAGGCAGCAGUGGGGAAUAUUGCACAAUGGGCGCAAGCCUGAUGCAGCGACGCCGCGUGAGGGAUGACGGCCUUCGGGUUGUAAACCUCUUUCAGCACCGACGAAGCGCAAGUGACGGUAGGUGCAGAAGAAGGACCGGCCAACUACGUGCCAGCCGCCGCCGUAA